rnacentral:rRNA from 1 species
ACGGAAGGCAGCAGUGGGGAAUAUUGGACAAUGGGGGAAACCCUGAUCCAGCGACGCCGCGUGAGUGAAGAAGUAUUUCGGUAUGUAAAGCUCUAUCAGCAAGGAAGAAAAUGACGGUACUUGACUAAGAAGCCCCGGCUAACUACGUGCCAGCAGCCGCGGUAAUACGUAGGGGGCAAGCGUUAUCCGGAUUUACUGGGUGUAAAGGGAGCGUAGACGGCAUAGCAAGUCUGAAGUGAAAUGCAUGGGCUCGACCCAUGAACUGCUUUGGAAACUGUUAAGCUAGAGUGCAGGAGAGGUAAGUGGAAUUCCUAGUGUAGCGGUGAAAUGCGUAGAUAUUAGGAGGAACACCAGUGGCGAAGGCGGCUUACUGGACUGUAACUGACGUUGAGGCUCGAAAGCGUGGGGAGCAAACAGGAUUAGAUACCCUGGUA